rnacentral:lncRNA from 1 species
GCUGGAAACGCAGCCCCUCCCCCGGGCUCUCCAGCAGCCAACGCCACCGGGGGCUCUGUCCCCACGGCUGCCCACGGGACGGCACGAUCGGCCCCCACGUCGCAGGGCUGGUCCCCCCAUCGGGGGAGAGCAGCCCCAGGAAUCGGCCCCGCUCAGCACCAUGUUCAUUAUCGUGAGAUAUGGAGACUGCAUUGAUCUUCUGGAUGAAACGGGCGCCCUGAUGAACCUCAGCAAAGUGGAAAACCCUGCAUCUGAAUUCGCCAGUAAAUACCUACAGGAAAGGAAGCGCUACAUCCUCAUCCGAGUCGUCCGAAGAGAAAACGCUGACCUCACCAGCUACGAAUCCUUGCUGGAGAACCUGGGGAAACACUACCCUGACCUACCAGGUAAGGCAGACACCCACCUCGCUCCUACAGAGGAGCCAGGGGUGCUGGUAGGACCCCUCUCCCCACCACUGCUCUCACACACCAUCCGUGGGACUGUCCUCUGCGCUCUGCCCAGGCCCCUCACAACACCGAGCUUGGACUGGUUGUGGCCAUGGGUAGCAAGAGAAGGGACAAGGAGAACCUCUCCCAGGCAGGAGAACCUCAGACCCUUGCUGCCCUCCCACCCCAUGCCAGGCAGAAGCCCCCCUCCCCAGCUUGGUGAGGUCCAAAGCAGAGAGGGGACAGUUUCUUGGGGCAAACAGGGAAGAGAGGAUCAGGAAACCCAGACAUCCAUCUCCCAGCCCGCAGCCGGACAGGUUGGUGUAGCCCAAGGGGCACCUGAGCAAGAGAGAAGGAAAAGCCCUAACUGCUGGGGUGGGGGGGCUGCUCCACAGAUCGGCUGCAGAAGCUCUCAGCAAGACAGAGCUGGAGAAGAGGCUCUUUCCAGAGGAAGGCUCAGGCCCUCAGCAGCACCUCAGCCAGGUCCAGACCCACCUCACCCAGGUCCAGGCCCGCCUCACCCAGCAGGAAGAGCUUAAGGGCACCCCUGGAUGAGGACCGGACCUGAUGGGAACGGGCCCUUUACUGGUCACAAACGCAGCAUGGCCGCCACCAGGGCUCACCCACAGUGCUGUAGCACCCCACCACUCACCCCCCACUUAGCCAGAACCCUCCGCUAAUUAACUGCUCUUCCUGGGACCCCCUGCUCCACUCCAAAGUUCACAUUCCUGCAUCCCAAGCUGCACCUUGACCAGCCACACAAACACAACACGAGCAGCAGCCUCCAGAGACACGAGUCCUCGGCUCCAGCAGCAGCACUGGCCAGCACACCAACAUCAGUCCAAUGGUUAUUUCUUAAAGGGGGUUAAUUAAAACAACUUCAUAAUAGCAGUUCCUCCCUGCUCACACCAGUGCAGCUCAGCACACAGAGUGCUUUGAGUCUCUGGCAUCUACUUCUUCCUUUGGCUGUCCCUCUGGGGAGCAGAAGCCACCCCAGAUAAGGCCAGGCACCACUCAGGACGUCACCUGCCACCAAGAAUUUAGGUCUUGACAUUUACAAGGGGUAGGACUUUCAACACCAGCCUCCAGGAUCCGUCUCCAGCUUUCACCAUCCAGAUCUGGGCUUCCUCACAGACUCAGCGAGGGGCUGGGCAGUUGCCCAGCAUCCAACAGCGAACAGGUUAAUUCUGCCAUGAAGAUUCAGUGGUUAAGCCUCCAAAAGCAUCACCACGUGCCACUAAAACACCAGCUGAAGCCUCAAAGUUCUCCUUCCCACCAAGGACAGAGCAGGGCCUCCUGCUGGAGGCAGCAGCCAUGAGCCUGCUCUGCCACAGGCAGUCAGAGGAAAGCAGAAAGCUCACCCCGCUGCUGGUGACCUUGAGCAGGUUGCAUAAGCUGCUCCGGCCUUUCGGCGAGAUCAGCCGACUGUAUCCCAGUCACCCUGCCAGGCAGGUCACACUGUCUUAGCUCCAGCGUCACAAGAGCCCUUCAGGAAGAGGAUAUCGAUGGAAAGAUAGAUUUGUUACUGAAAAUACCGCGGGGGACAGCUCGGAUUGCCUCCCUCCAGCCCCUCCUCUGCCUGGAGGGCAUCCAGCCCGGCCUCAGCUCACUCCUGAUCGGCUUUUGCCAAGUCAUGGGGCACAGUCCCUGCGAGGCCGCCCCUCCUGUCGGCAGGAAAUAUGCCUUUGUGCCUUGUCCCUUAAGUGCCUGACACUGUUAACAUUUUGGUAGCUUAAUUUUAGCUUGAAGAAUUAAAUAAAGAACAUGCACCAGUGACA